rnacentral:tRNA from 1 species
AAAGUAAUAGGUUAACGAUAGACCGUCGCUUUUCAAGAGCGAAAGUAAGAUUAUUUAUUCUAAGACUUUUACUUUA